AUUUCAGGAAUUGGAGAUGCCCCUGUGGCUGAGGAGGAGCUGGGGCUGGGGCCGGGGCCAGGGCCGGGGCUCUGACCUGCCACUCUGCCCCACAUUAAGGGCAGAGACCGAAGAGCGCCCCUGCUCUGUGCUGCAUUUGGAAAGAACCUAAAUGUCCUCCCUCUGAAGACUGGUUAAACAUCUGGUUAUGAUCCAGUGCUCACGUUUCUGGAAUCCGUUCCUUUGGCUGUGCCACUUGUGAUCCCUUCUGCUCCAACGUUUGCCUGGGGAGCUCAUUAGGUAGCCAGGACCCUGGGCCACUGCACCCCACCAGGACGGCAGGACUGAAAAGGCCACUGACCUGCUCAUCUGACACCUGAGGGCCGCUGGAGACCCAGGGACACUCCUGCUGCGGCUCAUGUUUGGAAGCUGUCCGGAGGCGGGACUUCCUCUUCCUCCAGGGGCCGCCGUCCGGAGGCGGGACUUCCUCUUCCUCGGGGACAACUGUCUUUUUCUCUUAAGGCCUUGGACUGCCUGGAUGAGGCUAUAAUAUGGUCAGUACUCUGCUCUACCCAAAGUCUCCUGAUUGAAAUAUUAACCUCAUCCAAGAAACACCCUCACAGCGACGUCUACACUGGUGUUUGACCAAAUAGCUGGGGACCGUGGCCUGGUCGAGCUGACACAAAAGUAACCAUCACAGCUGCUGCUAUGGUCUGAAUGUUGAUGUCACCCCCAGAUUCAUUUGUUAGAACUUAAGCCCCAAGGCGAUGGCAUCACUGGUGGGCUUUGGGAGAUGAGGAGGAUAUGAAUGGGACCAGUAGCCUCAUAAGAGUUUUGAGGGUCCUGGUUGCCCUUCCCCACCCUCCCGUCCCUGCCACUGGGUGAGGACACAGCAAGAAGCCGCCGUCCUGGGAGCAGAGAGCAGAAAGCAGCCCUCACCAGACGCUGAAUCUGCUGGGGCCUCGGUCCUGGACGUCCCAGCCUCCAGAACUGAGCGAUGAAAUUCUGGUUACAAAUUGCCCCCUCUGAGGUAUUUUGUUUUAGCAGAAGGAACAGACGAGGAUGACCACCGAGGCCCUUCUCAGGCUGCCGCGGGUCUCCAGGAUGGGGACAGUCAGCUGGGGCCAACCGAGCUGCAUGUGGUCAAGGGCCCAUGCAUGUGACCAGGGCCCGCCUCCCACGUCACCCAGUGCACCCUCAGCAUGGGACACGGACCUAGACACUGCCGGGGUCUCCGUCCUUGCAGGCACUGCCAGGCGCCCCUCCCUGGGAGAAGCUGCAGCUCUGAGGCUACGGUCUUGCAGGUCAGCCACCACCUGGCUUUGUGGUCUGUUAUGCCCGGCCUAGUGUCCAGGGUGGUGACAUUUAUUUGAACAAAGACCAGUCUCCACCACCAAAGUCAUGGCUCUGCUGUUGCUUCCAGAACCAAAGAAAGGCUGGCUUCUGGGCUGGGCGUGGUGAUUCACGCCUGUAAUCCCAGCACUUUGGGAGGCCGAGACGGGCAGAUCACGAGGCCAGGAGUUCGAGACCAUCUUGGCUAACAUGGUGAAACCCUAUCUCUACUAAAAAUACAAAAAAAAUUAGCUGGGUGUGGUGGCACGUGCCUGUAAUCUCAGCAACUCAGGAGGCUGAGGCAGGAGAAUGGCUUCAACCUCGGAGGCGGAGGUUGCAGUGAGCCAAGAUCGCACCACUGCACCCCAGCGUGGGCAACAGAGCAAGACGCUGUCUCAAAAAAAAAAAAAAAAAAAAAAAAAAAAAGUCGGCUUCUCAAGCAGGUGGAAUCAGCGCUUGAUGAGACUCUGUAAUGACUGCAUAAUGAAGGCCCUCCCGGUCCUCCCCCAGCCGGUGCUCCUGUGAAACGGAGCCUGGGAAGCUCCCUUACUGGAGAAGUCUUUCGGCCGGAGAAUCGAUUCCUGCAGCCCCUUGUUUCAAUUCCGUGAGGCUUGAAGGGAGGGGCCGGCGGGCACCUGCAGACAAAUGCAUCCCAGGUGUAAGGAGGGUGCCCGUGGUCGCCCACGUGGCCAGCACAGGGCCGAGGGGGAUGAGGGCAGGGGCUGCCGCCUGCACUCAGCUCCAGGCCUGCCUCAGGGGAGCUGCAAAGCUACUCAUUCUCAUCAGCUUCAAGCUGACAUCCUUUUUGUCUUCAGUCCAGUAUUAGCUUAAAGGGAAAAGCGUUCUUGUUUGAAAUGUUAACUGGGUGCAUUCUGCUCGUUUUAAUUGUUUCAUUUGCCUAUUACGGCAGCCACAGCAGACGUGUUCCGAUUAGCAAAGAGGAAAAUCUAUCCACUGGAUCAAACUUGUAAAUGUGCAUCUCUCGGGGACUCUGUCCACAUCAGGCCUGUCCCUGGGGUCAUGGGGUGUGGGGAGGGGAGGCGAGGGGCCAGUGCUGGCCAGGUGGGACGAAGGCCACUGGGUCCGUUCCAGUCAUUGACUGCUCUCUUCUCUCCUCGUCCCUCUCACUCAGGCCAGGUCCUGACCCCCUUCCUGCUAAGGGCGGGUGGGCUUGGCAGCCUCUGCUGGGCACAGGGUGGUGGCCACAUCUGCUGCCUAAAAGGGCUGCCCCGGAGCAUCCCUGGGGGUGCUGUAUCUGCACCUCCAGCACUGCAGGCCCCUCACAGUGUCCCAGCCCUGUUGCCGGGUGGCUGCUCCCCUGCCCUUGGGGCUAGGGCAUCCAGGUCCUUUGGGGGCUCUGCUGGCGGUGCCCAGACCUGUGGGAGCUGAGCCCCUCCUGAUCCAGCCUCCCUGCUGGGUGCCCUCCCCUGGGCCUGCAGGGCGGGAGCCCCCGGGGCUGCUUCUCCUGGGGCCUGGGCCGUUACAGGGUGAACACGAAGCGAGGGCGCACUAAACACGCUCCGUAACUACCUGGGCUUGACUCGGUCUGUCCUCCACACCGCCCUCACCCAGGCCUAACCUGUGUGUGGCACGGCGGGAGGGGCCCCCUGCUGUCUGGGUGGUUGGUGGGCCACUGCACCUGCUCCAUCCCACCCGUGGCCUGCACAGCCUGUCCCCACCCUGCAUCACUGAGGAGCCUCCUGGGGUUCUGCCGUGGUCCAUGCUGCAGACCUGCCUGGGACAGCCCCUGCCAGGCCCCCCAGGCUAUCCCUGCUGGGCACUCACUCUGGCCAACCACCAUGGCCUGCAGCCUCCCCUGCUUCUCACACUGCCUGGCGUGGGACCCUGUCUCAGAGAGGAGCUCCCCGCUGCGUCCCUCUCUGCAUCGGGACGUGCACACUCUGCACUCCCUCUCCAGAAUAUUUCUCCUUCUCCAGUGACAGCCCGCCAAGCUUGCUCUCAGCUCUUUGAGGAUCAGCUUAGAGAUGGCUUCUUCCAGGAAGUCCUCCCUGAUGCUCCAAAGUGGCUGGUUCCUUCUUUCAUGCCCAAACUGCCCCUCACAGCUGCUCACUCCAACAAAGGCACUGGCCUCUGUGAUGAACCAGGAGACUGAGAGAGCUGGGGAGAUGCUCCAGGGCCUGUCCUGGACUGUCUUGAUUCCCUGGGGCCUGGCACAUGGCCCGGGGCCUGGAACUCAGACAAGAGCUCCACAGGAGCUGAUGGCAGAAUGAAUGAAUGAAUGAAUGAGGUGCAGGCUCGGGGUCCUUGGAGCCUCCCAGAUUUCCAGGCAAGCCCAGCUGGGUCCAGUCCUGGGGCCUGCACCUUCUAGAUGGCCAGCCUGAGCUGCUGGGGGCCCAGCGACCUCAGGGGACAAGAAUGGUGGGGAGGAGGAGCCCCUGGGGAGGGGAUGCUAUUGAGCCCCAGGAGGAGGGUGAGCAGGGGUGGGGUGCGGGGGUGAGGUGGACAGGAAGCUUCAAGGAACACCCCAUGAUCUGAAGGCACCAUCUUCCUUCUCGGGACCCUGCCCCACCAGGCCUGCCGGGCCCUCAGAGGAUCACAGCACCCUCACGCUCUGGGACAGGUCCAAGCGCAGCCCGCGUGGCCCCUACAAGCCUGCUGUCAUUGGCUAAGGUGAGUUUACCUGAAGGCUCAGGGACCCUGGGGGAUGGGCUGAGGGGAGCGGCAGUGUUGCUGGGGACACAGAUCCUUGGUGCUGGGUAGACAAGGUUGCCCACCAGGGACCCUCAGGCCCACAGAAACACACUCAGGACACAUACGUGACACCCCAACAUGCACACACGCUGACACACAUGUGCACACACAUGCACGGAGAGACACAACGACACCACACAGGCACAUGCAGACACAUGUGUGCACACAUAUGCAGAUACACAGACACCCCAACACAUGCACAUAUAGACACACCCCAACACACUGACACACGUGUGCACACACAUGCACACAGACACAACACCUCAGCAUAUACACACACGCACACACAUACACAGAUACAUAGAUACCCCAACACAUGCACACAUAGACACAGACACCCCAACACAGACUGACACACACAUGCAAACAUGCAUCCCAACACACACACUGGCACAUGUGCACACAUCACACCGAUGCACAUGGACCCCCACACUCACACACACUGACACGCAUGUGCUCACACAUGCACAUAUACAUACACACUUAGCUGCCUCAGACACACACACCCAGGACCCUCAGGCAUGUGCCCCACAAUGACCUACAAACACACAAGCUCUCAAGGGUACCCCCACAUACACACCACCUCAUGGACACACAACCCACGAACACGCGCCACACCUUCCUGCUCUCCCUCACACACACAGACACACACCUCCCACCUGGGUGUCCUCCGCCUGCACUUGCCUGGCAGCCUGCUGUGGUUUCCCUGGAAACACUGUCACCAUGGUGGCUUUGCAGAGCCUGGGGUGCAGCUCCAGCGCAAAGCCCAACCUGGGGCACAGGCAGCCAGUGGGCAUGGACUGGAUUCAGAAGAGACGCCCAGUGGAGGGCUCAGGUGGGAGGGGGACAGGCCCUGAGAGGCACAGUGGGGGCAGGGCAGCUCACUCCCGCCAGAGUCCCUGCAGCUGGGCUGUGCCACCCCUGCCAGGUCCUGAGAUGGGAGGAAGUGCAGCCCACCCUGCCCCUGCCUGCCCAGGUCAGCAGUGCCCACGGGCAGAAUCCCUUCCUGAGCCCCCUGCUCUCCUGGAGACAGCAUGGGCCACAGGAGGAAGGAAGGAGCUGGGGAGAAGGUGGGGCCUGCAGCCUGGCUUGCCAGGGAGGAGGGGUGGAUGGGGACCAAGAGCCAGGAAUCCCGGCACAGCCGGGAGGAGCCGAUGAGCCAGGGCAAGGGGUCAACACUGGAGCCUGAUCUCCCAGGAAGGGUGCUGUUCUGGGCCCCGGCUGGGCCAGAUGAGGCACCACGUUCCCAGGCCCUGUGUUGGCAGCAGGCCUACCUCUGCCCUCCCAGGCACUCUGGGGUGUGGUCCCAGGGCCUCCCCACUUGAAUGGAGGCCAGCCAGGUCCGGCAGGUGGGAGCACCCAGGCAUGCGCUGGGUGUGCAGAGGGAGGGCCCAUGCUGCCCCACGGUUACCAAGCUGCAGGGACAGAGCACGGGGGCUGCCUCUGUGGCUCUUGGUGGGGCACGGGGCUGUGCUGGGAGGCCCAGACAUCAGGGAGGGAGGAUGGGCUUGGAAUGGGGACUAUAAAAGGUCACGGUGGGGAGGGCCGCUGACCCCUGUCCUUCUCACGGGGGGUCUCCAGCACACCCUGCUGCCACUGGCCCCUCGGCCUGGAGCCAGGCUCCAUUGUGGAGUGGGUAGUGGCCACUGUGGAAGGGUUGGGGACACUUAGAGGCUGAGCUGCUGGAUGCAGGUUGACAUUUGAAGCCUGGCCUGAUGGAGCUGGGCUUUCCCUGGAGCGCUGGACAGGCCACCCAGCCUUCUGGCUCUGCUUCCCUCCUGCAUCUCAUGCUGGGAUUGAUGGGUGGUCAGGGUGCCUGCUCUGAGCUAAGGCCUGACUGGCCCCAAAUUCUGGGACCCAUGCAGAGGGAAGGGGACAUCUGUGGUCCUUGGAGGAAGGAGUCAAAACAAUUGGGGCAGAAAAUGGGAUGAGUGGGCAAGGGCGGGAGAGCACAGCUGAGAAUGCCCGGGGAUGAGGAGUGAGCAGGGACACUGCGCAGCUGCUCUGGCCUGGACUGAAGCCCACCAGGGUACACCCUGAGGCCUGGUAGAGUGCCAGGGCCACACUGCUGAGGCUCCCUGUCCUCGAAGUCCGCUUGGAGCCCUCCUACCUCUCCAAAGGCGGCAUUCUCCCCUCCACCGAGCCCGUGUGUUCAUCCACACAGUCCCCAUUUCUCAAGGCAGGGGGCUUGCAAGACAGGAGCCAGGCCAGGUCCCGGCCACAUCUGGUCCACAUGGCUUGUUUGUGGUGUGGUGCCCGCAGCCGUUCCUCCAGAAACAUGCCUCAGCAGCCCAGCACCUUCCAGAGAGCCUUGCACACAGGCAUGCAUGAGGAAGCUGUGAGGAGUGUGAUGACAACAGCAAUAAUGACAAAGGUGAUGACAGUGGUGUGAGGUGAUAAUGAAGACGGUGGUGGUGAAGAUGAGAUGAAGAUGAUGGUGGUGAUGGUGAUGGUGACAGUGAUGACAGUGAUGGUGGUGUAAUGGUGAUGAGGUGAUGAAGGUGGAGUGAUGGUGAUGAGAUGAAGAUGAUGGGGAUAAUGGUGGUGAUGACAGUGAUAGUGAUGGUGUGAUGAUGGUGACAGUGACUGUGAUGGUGAUGAUGAUAGUGAUGACAGUGAUAGUGAUGGUGAUGAUGAUGGUGAUUGUGAUGGUGAUGGUGACAGUCACUGUGAUGGUGACAGUCACAUAGUGAUUGUGAUCUGAUGAUGAAUGUGAUGACGAUGACAUUUAUAGUGAUGGUGUGAUGAUGAUGAUGAUGGUGAUGGUCACGGUGAUAGUGAUGGUGAUGAUAGUGAUGACAGUGAUAGUGAUGGUGAUGAUGAUUGUGAUGGUGACAGUGAUAGUGAUGGUGAUGAUGAUGAUGGUGAUUGUGAUGACAGUGAGAGUGAUGGUGGUGAUGAUGGUGAUUGUGAUGUGAUGAUGAAUGUGAUGGUGAUGGUGAUGAUUGUGAUGGUGACAGUGAUGGUGAUUGUGAUCUGAUGAUGAAUGUGAUGAUGAUGACGACAGUGAUAGUGAUGGUGAUGAUGAUGGUGAUUGUGAUGUGAUGAUGAAUGUGAUGAUGAUGAUGGUGACAGUGAUGGUGAUCAUAGUGAUUGUGAUAUGAUGAUGAAUGUGAUGACGAUGACAUUUUAGUGAUGGUGUGAUGAUGAUGAUGGUGAUGGUGACAGUGAUAGUGAUGGUGAUGAUAAUGAUGACAGUGAUAGUGAUGAUGAUGAUGGUGGUGAUUGUGAUGACAGUGACAGUGAUGGUGUGAUGAUGAUGGUGAUGAUGGUGAUGGUCACAGUGAUAGUGAUGGUGAUGAUGAUAGUGAUGACAGUGAUAGUGGUGAUGAUGAUGGUGAUUGUGAUGACAGUGAUAGUGAUGGUGUGAUGAUGGUGAUAGUGAUGAUGAUGAUGAUGGGGAUCGUGGCACACCUGAGCUAACCUUUUGGGCCAGCAGCGCCCCCUGCCACUUGCUGGACACCCCAGGCGCCGGCAUGCUGGUUGCUCCCCUGCUGUCUCCCAGCUCUCAGGCAGUAACUCUCUCAGUCAUGUGAAGACAUUGAAAUGCAGCCGUCGUGCCUGGCAUGCGGUUGGGCAUUAAUUACAUCUCCUUUUGCAAAGCCUAAUCAACUUCUCCUAAUUAACCUGUUUCCUGUCAAUGUGAAAUAAUUGAAUUCACUCGGAAUUGGCUGUGCACAUAGAGCCAUCAGAAGCCUACGUGGCUAUUUGUAAUGGUGGAGAUUUUGCAAACAACAUACCUUGUUUUGAAAACACAUUUUCAAUCCCUGUGGGCAUAUGUCCCUCUGAUGCACAAGCUUUCCGUGCUUUCCUAGAGCAGGGAUGCUUCAUUCAUGGGGUCUGUGAACUUGGACGAGAAAAAGCAACAUCUCUAUUUUACUAAGCUCUGACUGAAAUCUGGCAUUUCCUUCCACGAGGAACGCCAGCCAUCCCAGGGCUUUAUCUCAAAUAGAAAACACAGGUGUGUUUGUAUCACUUUGCAGUUGUUGCAGGUUUUUCAAACUUGUCCACACUCACCUCCACCUCUAAAACUCAGGGGCUGCUGGACGCUGGGUUUUGUUAUCCAGUGCGACGUGUAAUGCAGCCACUGCCACCCUCACACAUCUGCUUUGUUGAUAUUUUGACAUCUGCUUCACUAUGGCUGUUUUCCUUGGUGGCCGUAUGUGUUUUUGUCCAAGUAAAUCAUGAAUGGUAGAGCGCAGGGAUUUCUAGGGCAGUGAAAUGAUUCCAUACGAUACUGUGAUGGUGGACACACGGCAUCGUGCAUUUGUCAAAACUGAUGGAACAGCAGCAGUGGUCCCCAACCUUUUUGGCACCAGGGACCAGGGACCAGUUUUAUGAAAGACAUUUUUCUUAUAGACCAGAGGCUGGGGGGGGCGAUGAUUGGGGAUGAAACUGGCCCACCUCAGGUCAUCAGGCAUUAGAUUCUCGUGAGGAGCUCGGAGCCUAGCUCCCUGGCAUGGGCAGUUCACAAUAGGAUUCAUGCUCGUAUGAGAAGCUAAUGCUGCCGCUGAUGUGACGGGAGGUGAUGCUCAGGUGGUAAUGCUUUGCCUGCCCACCUCUCACCUCCUGCUGUGUGGCCUGGUUCCUAACAGGCCCUGGACUGGCACCAGUGCCGAUGCAAAUGACGGGCAUAAGGGCACUGUGGGUGGGGGCUCAGGGAAUGCCCUGUGCUACCUGCUCCCUGCUCUGUAAACCAAAAACUGCUCUACAAAAUAAAGUCUAUUCACUUAAAAAAAAAACUCUUAAUUAUGAAAAAAAUUAUCCCCAUGCUGUCAAAACGCCCCCUCCCCACAGGAGCAGAUGCUCUAGGGACAGCUGGCCCAGGCUCAGGCCAGCUGAGCCCCUUGCCAGCAGGCGUGCAGCCCACGCCUGCCGGAACAGGGGAACAGCAUUGGCCUCUGUGUCCUGGAACAGGGUGGGAUGCCUGGGGCAGCACAGCCCCCAGAUCUAUGGCCAGGUACAGCCACCGGCAGUGAACACCUCCGGAGGUGGCCUGCAAGGAAGGAACGGUCACGUCGUUGAAAGUGCAAUUCAGCAUCCACACGGCACACGCACGCGCACACGUGGGUACACAGCAUCCACACGGCACACACACGCGCACGCGUGGGUACACAGCAUCCACACGGCACAAGCACGCGCACGCGUGGGUACACAGCAUCCACACGGCACACACAUGAGCACUCAUGGGCACACAGCAUCCAUAUGGCACAUGCACACACACACGGGUACACAGCAUCCACAUGGCACACGCAAGGCACACAUGGGCACACAGCAUCCACACGGCACACGCACGGGCACACAGCAUCCACACGGCACACACACGGGCACACGGCAUCCACACGGCACACGCACGUGGACACACGGGCACACGGCAUCCACAUGGCACACGCACGGGCAUGCGGCAUCCACACGGCACAUGCAAGGCACAUGGCAUCCACAUGGCACACGCACGCGCACACGGCACCCACACGGCACACGCACGGCACACGCACGCGCACGCAGGGGCACACGGCACCCACACGGCACACGCACGCGCAGGCACGGGCACACGGCAUCCACACGGCACACGCACGCACACGCAUGGGCACCCAGUCGCACAUGCGUGUCAGUAUCAGCAAGCAGCCCCACUGCAGGACAGGCCCAGUAUGCUCCUUUCCCAGUUUUGAGGAGCUGAAAUUCUUCCUUAAUCUAAAUGUUUUCCGUUCGGAACGCACACGUGUUGUGUUUUUUCCACAGUCAUUAGAUUCAGAGUAAUUAAACCAAAACGCUCAUUUCUGGAAAGAGACAAAGUAUUUUGAGUUUCUACAUCAAUAUUUAACAUCUGCCUAACAUUUUAUAUGCUGCCCUGGUGGGUAAAACGAUUUCUACUCUCCAUAAAGAUGGACUCUGCCACAAAUCCCUCAAGAAAGAAAGAUAUUUUCUUGUGAAGAGUCAGCCAUAGUGUCUGCCUUACGUAGAGCUUGACAGUUUUUUUUCUUAUUUUAAAAUCUCAGAGCCAAAUUCAGUUCGACAAUCAAGCUAAAUGAUUAGUCGGCUUUAGAGCUGAUGUGUGUGAAGUUGGAAUUUAGCACAUUAAAUAUUUCAGGGAGAAAGUGCGCAACGUGAGACAGAAAGGCAGAGGCUUCCUCUAGAACUCAGCCUGGAGUGGUUGCAGGAAAAUGCGCCAAUUAGCAGGGGCUUCGUUCUCGCCAAUGUGACAGCUCAGAACAUUUGCAAUCCAUUUUGGAGGAUGAGAAAGGAAUACUGUGCUCCCCUUCGUGCAAAAACCAAGCCAUGCAGAACAAAAUUACAGGCCAGGAGGACAUGCCAGGGCCUGUAUGGACAGUGCUGGAUGGUGCAGAACCCACGUGCUGGGUCCCUGUGUGCUCAUGCCCAUCCAGAGAUGCCCUGGGGACACAAACAGGCCCUCAAAUGCAGAGGGCCUGUCCAGGGAGCAGGUGAGAGGGAAACGCAAAGACAAGUGGUGCCUCCAGGGUGGCCCAGCUCAAGCCUGCCAGAGCACACCUGCCUCGGCACCGGGGCUUCCGGGACCCCACCACUGAAUGCCAGGCCACCCCAGGCAGGGGACAGGCUGCGAGAAUGGGCCUCAAGCCCUUGCUGAUCUCCUCGCCAGCCACAGUGGGACAAGCUCUGAUGGGGCAGCAGGGCCCUACUCACCCCAUGGGCAGCCACUGGUUAGAGAUACCCCGGCCGCCUGGGUGCCCAAGCCGAGCCUCCCCUGGGGGCCGUGUGCGUCCCAUUUGGAGUCCCCACCAUGCCCACUGUCCUCUCCACAGCUGCUCUGGUGGGUGGGGUGCUGGCCUACCAGGGUGCAGCAGGGACACCAGGAAGCUCAGCACCUCACUCAGCACCUGCUCUUCAGGCUGAAGCUGGCAGCGGGACCACCUCCACUUGCCUAGGACUGCAGAGCACAACCUGGCACCCUCCUGAAGAUGACGCACAUGAUCAUGACCCACAGGACCCAGCGGCUCCACCCCCAGGGGUGAGCCUGAAAGAAGCAAAAACACACAGCCACACACACACACACAGCCACACACACAGCCACACACACACACACAGCCACACACACACAGCCACACACACAGCCACACACACACACAGCCACACAGAGACUGCAGGAAAGCUCACAGCAGCUUUGUGCACAGCAGCCAAAAGGCAGAGACAGCUCACAUGUCCACAGACUGACAGAUGGACAAACACCAUAUGUUCACCCACAUGGGGAGCAUCAUUCAGCAUAGAAAGGAAUGGGGCACAGGCACGCGCCAACACGGGGGCAUCGUGAAAGCACUGUGCUCGGCGAAGGAAGCCACACACGACCGCCUGCCAGAACACAUGCUACACACAACGGUGUGUCACACACAACCACACAUCACACGGAACACGUUACAUGCAAUGGUGUAUCACACACAACCACGUCACACGGACCACAUGGAAUGCAUGUUACAAUCAUAAAUCACACAAACCACAUGUCACAUGGAACAUGUGUUACACACCGUAUCUUACACAUAACUGCACGUCAUACAGAAUGUGUGUUACACACAACUGUAUCUCACACACAACCGCACAUCAUACAGAACGCAUGUUACACACAAUCAUAUCUCCCACACAACCGCAUGUCACAUGGAUGAAAUGGAACGCAUGUUACACACAAUCAUAAAUCACACACAACCACAUGUCACACAGAACGCAGAACAGGGAAGUCCCCAGAGACGGAAGCAGAUGAGGGACUGCUUAGGCCUGGGGAGGAGGGUGAUGGCUAAAAGCUGUGGGGUUUCUUUCUGAGGUGAAGCGAAUGUUCUAAAAGGGCCCGUGGGGAUGUUGCCCAUCUAUAAACACGCUGAAAGCCAUGGACGUGUCCACUGGAAGGGGAGGGAUCAUAUGAUAUGUGAGCUACGUCUCAAAGAAAGCUGUUUUUUCAAAAAGACUUGUUUCCCGUCUCCCCCGAGGGCUUCCUGGACUCCUGUUGCUUGUCUCUGUCACGAAUCCUCACCCCAAAAUCAUAGGAUGAACACCCCAAAGAAAUCAUGAGAACUCUUCUCUUUGUAGCAAACCACCAAAGGAGAAAUUCAUGCUUGAAACUGUAUCCAAACGGAUCAGGGGCCCAAGGGCUGGAUGAUCUUCACCGCAGCUGGUCUCUGAAAACAUGCCUUGUGACCUGCAGUGAGGAGUCCGCAUCUGUCUGUGCCACCUGCUGAGACUGUCCUCUCUCGGGCUCCCAUGGGGGCUGCGGGCUGGAGCGGGGCCAGGAGGGAGGGGGAUGGACGGCUGGGAGGAGGACAGACACCCACACCUCGGUGACAGGUGACAGGCGUUGGCUUGGGCAGAGCCUCGGUGACCUGCCUAGGUUUUCUUCCCCAAAGCAGAUCCCAGCUGCGUCUGCACCCAGCAGGCCCCAGAGCCUUCUCCUCCGUGGGGGGGUGGGGGUAAGUCCCCUCCUGCUGGGCUGCCAGGCCUCAGGCAGCCUCGACGCAGCUCUGCACCCAGCUCCCGGCUCCCACAGAGAGCCCUGCAGCUACAGCCGGGGCGGCAGCUUCCAGUGGGCUUCCUGGACCCCUGUCUCCCAGCCACGCCGACCGCAGCCACUAUGUGGCUCCUUACAGUCCUCCCCCGGGACCCCUCAGCCCCCACUGGCCUCCGUCUCCCCAUCCUGGUGCCCCUCUGCUCUCUGUGGGUCUCCAUGGGUCACCCCACUGCCCCGUUCAUCUCUCCGUCCUGGCGCCCUCUGCCCUCCGAGGGUCACCCCCGCCGCCCUCUCAUCUCUCAGGUCUUGUCCCUGCCUGGCAGCGGGUUGAGCACUGGGCCCACUCCUGGGCCUCCCAGCUCCCUUGGGACCAUCUCUCUCACCUCUCCAGCCCCUCCAGCUGUGGACACUGACCCCUGCCUGGCUAUGGGGCUCUAGGGCAAGCCCCUCCGGCUCCAGGCCUUCAGCCCCCUCCCCCCAGCCACACCCAGGAAGGAAGGAAGCCCCCACUGCUCUGCCCCUUGGAGGGUCAGCGACGCCUGCCCGCACAGGGAAGCUCUCC
rnacentral:lncRNA from 1 species